ACGCCCUGUUGUGAUAACGCGAGUAAACAUGGCACACGUUCCGGUAGCGAUUCUUGUCUUCAGUGGAAAGAGAAAAUCCGGCAAGGACUAUGUAACUGAGAAGUUAUUACAACGGAUUGGAAAUGAGAAAUGUUGCAUUAUGCGUUUGUCAGCUCCCCUCAAAGGGCAGUAUGCAAAGGAACACCAGCUGGACAUCACACGCCUAUUAGAUAUCUUCAG